UACUGCUUCGGCAGUACUAAAAUUUGAACGAUACAGAGAAGAUUAGCAUGGCCCCUGCGCAAAUUGAAUGAUGACAGUUUUCUUUUAUAAUAUAAACAUGAUU